CUGUGGUUUGAUUUCUUUUUUAUUUUUGUAUCAGGACAAUCCAUACUGAACCGACUCUUCGAAUCGACUCCCAAAACCACACAAUCGGAAUCAACACCAAUAUUCAUGGAAACAUGGAAGAGCCCAAGGGUUUUAAACAGGACCGAAUGCCCGGAUGUGAGGAGUCGCUUUGAUUGGUCCAGAUAACGCCGAGGUUUUUCUGGGAGAAGGAAUGUAUUUUGGUCAUGGGUUUCUGUGUUAAAUCACAAUGUUUAGUGUUCAUUAAACCUACAGCGUUCUGUAAAAUUCCUGCACAUAUAAUUUACCACCAUUACCUUAGAUUGGUCUUAAAUAAACAAGAAAUCCCCUGUGUAACCGUUAUAGUAAGGGUUAAUCUACCACACUGAUCUCAGAUAAGAGGUGACUGGAAUAAAGUUGGUUGGACGUUCGAUAUUCGCGGAAAUGCGGAAAUUAAGGGACCGUCUCUAAAGUUACAUAGGACAUUGUUAUACACGUUUCUAACUUCAAUAGCAUUUGAAGGGAAUGAUGUACAGUCACAAACCCAAUUGGAAAGUGUUCUUCUAGGUGUCAGCUUAAUAGCAUUCGAAGGGAAUGACUUACAGUCACGUGUGAGUGUGUAUGUGAUUGUGCCCUGCGAUGGACUGGCACCCUGUCCAGGGUGUACCCCGCCUUGUGCCCGAUGCUCCCUGGGAUUGGCUCCAGGAUCCCCCGCGACCUUGAAGAAGGAGUAAGCAGUAGAAGAUGGAUGGAUGGAUGGAUGGAUGGACUUACAGUCACAAAACCAACUGCAAAACCAAAGUGUUCAUCUAGGUGUCAGAUUGUGGAUGGGAGCCAAAGGAAUUCAAAAUUAAUUACAUAGGCAGCACUUCCAGUCAACCUUUUGAGCCCUUUUGAACUGCUUCUCUGACAGAGAAAGGCAUGCCACAUGAAACCACCUCUUGCAGCAGUGACAAUCAAUCUGAAAAAUGAUCAUAGUAAUCUUAUCAAAUUGCUCAGUAAUCAGUUAGUUUCUCUCUCACUCUUUCACCCUCUCUCUCAGUCUCUCUCUUUCAUUCACUCACUCUCUUACACACACAAUACACACUUGUAAAGAAAAUGGUGUGCCCAUAAAAAUGUUAUAACCAUUGCUACAUUACCCACACAAAAUGUUUUUGCACCACCACCCGGGGAUUUUGAGGCAGCACAUAAUGAGCAGUAAUGUCCCCUCUUGAAUACUGAAAACAUGCAGUUAUAUGUUAGCUCUGUUGGCAAAUGGUACAUACUGUAAAUAGCAUUACCAUAUGUUUACUACUUAAUACUACUACUUAGUAUGAUGUUACAACAUGUGUGGUUUUUCUGUGAUAAAAAUCUAUACUUUAUACCAUAGUCUAAAUGACAGGCGUUUUUGUACAAGUAGUAAAUUACCUGAGGCUUUCAGAAGUUCCUCUGCCAUUGUCAGUCGCAGAUGUUCCAUGUGCUCCUUGGAUGAGUUUAUAGUCAAAUGGCAAGGGAUAUUUGGAAACGCACCAACAACUUCUUUUGCCAUCUACAUAAGACAAGAUAAGGUAAUGUUUUUUUUUAUUGUCCAUGGGAGAUUGUUUCACCAUAGCAGCCAUACAUACAAACAAACAAAACACAUACAUCUAAAUCCAAUAAUCAUAUUCAAUACACUAUUUGCAUAAUCUACAGUGAACAAACAUUGAAGAGCCUGAGCCUCCACAUAAAGUACAGUUUGCUCUGACGCUUCCUCUGUGUAGCCUCAAUUUACCCGCUCCAUUCUGGUUUGUUGUCUAGGUACACUCCAGGGUUCUUACAAGACUGAAGUAAAUUAUUAUAAAUUAUUGUAAAUUAUAAUUAUUAUAAGAUAAACUCUUUGUUUUUCUUUAUGUCAUACAAUUUAAUGAGGAAAUCCA